UGGGGAAUUUUGCACAAUGGGGGAAACCCUGAUGCAGCGACGCCGCGUGAUUUAGAAGGCCUUCGGGUUGUAAAAAUCUUUUUUAUGGGAAGAAAAUGACAGUACCAUAGGAAUAAGGACCGGCUAAGUAUGUGCCAGCAGCCGCGGUAAUACGUAAGGUCCGAGCGUUGUCCGGAAUCAUUGGGCGUAAAGGGUACGAAGGCGGGUAAGCAAGUUAGAAGUGAAAUCCUAUAGCUCAACUAUAGUAAGCUUUUAAAACUGCUCAUCUUGAGGUAUGGAAGGGAAAGUGGAAUUCCUAGUGUAGCGGUGAAAUGCGCAGAUAUUAGGAGGAAUACCGGUGGCGAAGGCGACUUUCUGGCCAUAACCUGACGCUGAGGUACGAAAGCGUGGGUAGCAAACAGG
rnacentral:rRNA from 1 species